AUUGAACGCUGGCGGCAGGCCUAACACAUGCAAGUCGAACGGUAGCACAGAGAGCUUGCUCUCGGGUGACGAGUGGCGGACGGGUGAGUAAUGUCUGGGAAACUGCCCGAUGGAGGGGGAUAACUACUGGAAACGGUAGCUAAUACCGCAUAACGUCAUCGGACCAAAGUGGGGGACCUUCGGGCAUCACACCAUCGGAUGUGGCCAGAUGGGAUUAACUAGUAGGUGGGGUAAUGGCUCACCUAGGCGACGAUCCCUAGCUGGUCUGAGAGGAUGACCCGCCACACUGGAACUGAGACACGGUCCAGACUCCUACGGGAGGCAGCAGUGGGGAAUAUUGCACAAUGGGCGCAAGCCUGAUGCAGCCAUGCCGCGUAUGAAGAAGGCCUUCGGGUUGUAAAGUACUUUCAGCGGGGAGGAAGGCGUUAAGGUUAAUAACCUUGGCGAUUGACGUUACCCGCAGAAGAAGCACCGGCUAACUCCGUGCCAGCCGCCGCAGUAA
rnacentral:rRNA from 1 species